GUGGCUGGCGGCUGGGUGCCUUCUACUGGUGCUGUGCAGAGGCUUUCCCUAAGGCUGCUGUGAGCCUGUAGGGGUUUCCCCUAGGCUACAAAGCUGG
rnacentral:pre_miRNA from 1 species